rnacentral:rRNA from 1 species
CCUACGGGAGGCUGCAGUGAGGAAUAUUGUUCAAUGGGCGCGAGCCUGAACCCGCCAAGUAGCGUGAAGGAUGACUGCCCUACGGGUUGUAAACUUCUUUUAUAAAGGAAUAAAGUGAGGCACGUGUGCCUUUUUGUAUGUACUUUAUGAAUAAGGAUCUGCUAACUCCGUGCCAGCAGCCGCGGUAAUACGGAGGAUCCUAGCGUUAUCCGGAUUUAUUUGGUUUAAAGGGAGCGUAGAUGGGUUGUUAAGUCAGUUGUGAAAGUUUGCGGCUCAACCGUAAAAUUGCAAUGGAUACUGGCAGUCUUGAGUACAGUUGAGGUAGGCGGAAUUCGUGGUGUAGCGGUGAAAUGCUUAGAUAUCACGAAGAACUCCGAUUGCGAAGGCAGCUUACUAAACUGCCACUGACAUUGAUGCUCGAAAGUGUGGGUAUCAAACAGGAUUAGAUACCCCAGUAGUC